CUGAUCUCCGACUGGAACAUCA
rnacentral:siRNA from 1 species